rnacentral:rRNA from 1 species
AUUGAACGCUGGCGGCAGGCCUAACACAUGCAAGUCGAGCGGAUGAAGGGAGCUUGCUCCUGGAUUCAGCGGCGGACGGGUGAGUAAUGCCUAGGAAUCUGCCUGGUAGUGGGGGAUAACGUCCGGAAACGGGCGCUAAUACCGCAUACGUCCUGAGGGAGAAAGUGGGGGAUCUUCGGACCUCACGCUAUCAGAUGAGCCUAGGUCGGAUUAGCUAGUUGGUGGGGUAAAGGCCUACCAAGGCGACGAUCCGUAACUGGUCUGAGAGGAUGAUCAGUCACACUGGAACUGAGACACGGUCCAGACUCCUACGGGAGGCAGCAGUGGGGAAUAUUGGACAAUGGGCGAAAGCCUGAUCCAGCCAUGCCGCGUGUGUGAAAAAGGUCUUCGGAUUGUAAAGCACUUUAAGUUGGGAGGAAGGGCAGUAAGUUGAUACCUUGCUGUUUUGACGUUACCAACAGAAUAAGCACCGGCUAACUUCGUG